UAGGGAAUCUUCGGCAAUGGACGAAAGUCUGACCGAGCAACGCCGCGUGAGUGAAGAAGGUUUUCGGAUCGUAAAACUCUGUUGGUAGAGAAGAACGUUGGUGAGAGUGGAAAGCUCAUCAAGUGACGGUAACUACCCAGAAAGGGACGGCUAACUACGUGCCAGCAGCCGCGGUAAUACGUAGGUCCCGAGCGUUGUCCGGAUUUAUUGGGCGUAAAGCGAGCGCAGGUGGUUUAUUAAGUCUGGUGUAAAAGGCAGUGGCUCAACCAUUGUAUGCAUUG
rnacentral:rRNA from 1 species